UACAGAGGUCCCGAGCGUUGUUCGGAUUCAUUGGGCGUAAGGGUGCGUAGGUGGCGCGAUAAGUCGGGUGUGGAAAUCUCGGAGCUUAACUCCGAAAUUGCAUUCGAUACUGCCGUGCUCGAGGACUGGAGAGGAGACUGGAAUUCAUGGUGUAGCAGUGAAAUGCGUAGAGAUCAUGAGGAAGACCAGUGGCGAAGGCGGGUCUCUGGACAGUUCCUGACACUGAGGCACGAAGGCCAGGGGAGCAAACGGG
rnacentral:rRNA from 1 species